UACGGAGGGGGCUAGCGUUGUUCGGAAUUACUGGGCGUAAAGCGCACGUAGGCGGCUUUGUAAGUUAGAGGUGAAAGCCCAGAGCUCAACUCUGGAACUGCCUUUAAGACUGCAUCGCUUGAAUCAUGGAGAGGUCAGUGGAAUUCCGAGUGUAGAGGUGAAAUUCGUAGAUAUUGGGAAGAACACCGGUGGCGAAGGCGGCUCUCUGGACCGAGACUGACGCUGAGGCGCGAAAGCGUGGGGAGCAAACAGG
rnacentral:rRNA from 1 species